rnacentral:rRNA from 1 species
GAUGAACGCUGGCGGCGUGCCUAAUACAUGCAAGUCGAGCGAACGGGCGAGAAGCUUGCUGCUCUGAUGUUAGCGGCGGACGGGUGAGUAACACGUGGAUAACCUACCUAUAAGACUGAGAUAACUUCGGGAAACCGGAGCUAAUACCGGAUAAGAUUUUGAACCGCAUGGUUCAAAAGUGAAAGACGGUCUUGCUGUCACUUAUAGAUGGAUCCGCGCUGCAUUAGCUAGUCGGUAAGGUAACGGCUUACCAAGGCAACGAGGCAUAGCCGACCUGAGAGGGUGAUAGGCCACACUGGAAGGGGGACACGGUCCAGGCGCCUACGGGACGCAGCAGUCGGGAAUGUUACGCAAUGGGCGGAAGCAUGACGGAGCGACGCCGCGCGAGUGACGAAGGUCUUCCGAUCGUAAAACUCUGUUAUUAGGGAAGAACAUAUGUGUAAGUAACCGUGCACAUCUUGACGGUACCUAAUCAGAAAGCCACGGCUAACUACGUG